UGGGGAAUUUUGGACAAUGGGCGCAAGCCUGAUCCAGCAAUGCCGCGUGCAGGAUGAAGGCCUUCGGGUUGUAAACUGCUUUUGUACGGAGCGAAAAGGUCUGCCCUAAUACGGUGGGCUCAUGACGGUACCGUAAGAAUAAGCACCGGCUAACUACGUGCCAGCAGCCGCGGUAAUACGUAGGGUGCGAGCGUUAAUCGGAAUUACUGGGCGUAAAGCGUGCGCAGGCGGUUAUAUAAGACAGAUGUGAAAUCCCCGGGCUUAACCUGGGAACUGCAUUUGUAACUACAUAGCUAGAGUGUGGUAGAGGGGAGUGGAAUUCCGUGUGUAGCAGUGAAAUGCGUAGAUAUACGGAGGAACAUCAAUGGCGAAGGCAGUCCCCUGGGUCUAUACUGACGCUCGUGCACGAAAGCGUGGGGAGCAAACA
rnacentral:rRNA from 1 species